CCAGACUGGAACUGAGACACGGUCCAGACUCCUACGGGAGGCAGCAGUGAGGAAUAUUUCACAAUGAGCGAAAGCUUGAUGGAGCAAUGCCGCGUGCAGGAUGAAGGCCCUCGGGUUGUAAACUGCUUUUAUAAGAGAAGAUUAUGACGGUAACUUAUGAAUAAGGGACGGCUAACUACGUGCCAGCAGCCGCGGUCAUACGUAGGUCCCGAGCGUUAUCCGGAGUGACUGGGCGUAAAGAGUUGCGUAGGCGGUCAAGUUAGCGAGCGAUGAAAACUAUCGGCUCAACCGAUAGCUUGUUGUUCGAACUGCUUGACUCGAGAGUAUCAGAGGUCGCUGGAAUUCCUAGUGUAGCAGUGAAAUGCGUAGAUAUUAGGAAGAACACCGAUGGCGUAGGCAGGCGACUGGGAUAUUUCUGACGCUAAGGCACGAAAGCGUGGGUAGCGAACCGGAUUAGAUACCCGGGUAGUCCACGCCGUAAACGAUGGAUGCUAAUUGUUUGAGGUAUCGACCCCUCGAGUAAUAAAGCUAACGCGUUAAGCAUCCCGCCUGUGGAGUACGGCCGCAAGGCUAAAACAUAAAGGAAUUGACGGGGACCCGCACAAGCGGUGGAUCGUGUUCUUUAAUUCGAUGCUAAACGAAAAACCUUACCAGGGCUUGACAUCCAGGGAAUUUUUGGGAAACCAAUUAGUGCCUUUUGGAACCCUGUGACAGGUGAUGCAUGGCCGUCGUCAGCUCGUGUCGUGAGAUGUUUGGUUAAGUCCAUCAACGAGCGCAACCCUUGUCGUCAGUUGUAUUUUUCUGGCGAGACUGCCCCGGUAACGGGGAGGAAGGAGGGGAUGAUGUCAGGUCAGUAUUGGUCUUACGUCCUGGGCUAGAAACGUCCUACAAUGGUCGGUACAAUGGGCAGCCAACCCGUGAGGGGGAGCAAAUCCCAUCAAAGCCGGUCUCAGUUCGGAUUGCAGGCUGAAACUCGCCUGCAUGAAGUCGGAAUCGCUAGUAAUCGCAGAUCAGCACGUUGCGGUGAAUACGUUCCCGGGUCUUGUACACACCGCCCGUCAAACCAUGAAAGUGACCAACACCCGAAGUCCGAUUCGUCGGCCUAAGGUGGGGGGCAUGAUUGGGGUUAAGUCGUAACAAGGUAUCCGUACCGGAAGGUGCGGAUG
rnacentral:rRNA from 1 species